UUAUAUGAGAGGUGAUAGUAACCUAAGUGAUAAUCAUAAUACAAAUAAUGAUCAUAAAAACAUUUACUCAAAUAUAUUUGAUUUACAUUAUAACUCUAAAGAAAACAAUAACAUCGCAACUUCGAAUUUUGCUGAAGCAACUGCUAACAAUAUUAAAAAAAGAAUUACUAUGGGUGAAAACUUUGAUAAUGUAUAUACUUCUGCAUUUAUUAAUAAUACAAUAAAUUCAAAUGAAAUGACAAGAUUACAAGAAAAAGAAAGUUAUAAAAUUUUUUUAAAUAUUAUAAAUGAAAGAAUGAAAAAUUUUAUAAAAAAUAAAAAUCCAAUAUAUGUUGAUAAUGCAUAUAAAUAUAGUUAUUCAGCAGAGGAUAAUAUAAUAGGGUAUAAGGAUAACCAAGCGAAAGGAUUAAAGAAUAUUAAUAUUUUAAGUAGCAUAAACGGGAUAAAUGACAUAAACAAUAACAAUAACAUAUUUCUUUAUGAUAACAAUAAUAAUAAUAAUAAUAAUAACAAUAAUAGUAGUAGUAGUAGUAGUAUUAGUAGUAGAAAAAGUAUUAUGAAUAAUAAGAACGAUAAAAUAACAGAAUAUAAUAAAAAUAUAAAUAAAGAAGAACCAAACAAAUUACAAAUAAUAGAAGAAAUAGAACAAUGUAUAGAUAUGGAUGAUAACACUCAUUCAAAGAAAAAUAUAAAUACAUCCGACCACAAUACUUCUAUUUAUUCUUAUUUUAAAAAAGGUGAAACAAGUAUAUACAACAUUAGUUCUAAUAAUAAUAAUGAACUUAUAAAAAAUAAGUAUGUCAAUCCUAAUUACAAUCAGUUAAAUAAUAACACAAAAAUAGAUAUUAAUUCAAAAAAUAAUAAUGAUAAUGGGUGGGAUGAUAACUUUUAUAAUAAUAAUUAUGACCGGUCAGAAUAUCAAAUUGAUAAUAUACAAAAUUUUUCAAUAUAUAAUAACGUUGAGAUGCUAAAUAGGAGUUUAAAUAUAAUAGAAGAAGGACUUAAGUCGGAAUAUAUGUCAAAAAACAACUCGUUUUUGGUAAAAAAAAACAAAGCAAGUGAUAGGUUAAUAGGUAAUGAUAACAGUAACAGCAAUGAAAGUGAUAAAAAUGGAGAUAAAAGUGGAAAUAGUAAUAUGGAAAAUAAUGAAGAAAACAACGACGAAAGUAAAAACGAAAAAGAUAAGAAAAGCAAUAACGAAAGUGAUAAGAAAAACGACUACAGUAACUAUUUUGUAACUAAAAAAAAAGAUACCACUAGUAAUGAUAAUAACAACGACAAUAACAACGACAAUAACAACGAUAAUAACAACGACAAUAACAACGACAAUGAUUAUGAUAAAACAAAUACAACAGUACCACAUGAAACUAUACAGCAAAAUAAUAUACAGCAAAAUAAUAUACAGAAAAAUAAUAUACAGAAAAAUAAUAUACAGCAAAAUAAUAUACAGCAAAAUAAUGUACAGCAAAAUAAAUAUACAACCAAUGUAAGAAACAGCAAUAUUUGUAGUAACGAUAUGCAGAUGCAUGAACUACAUAAUACCGAUAUAUAUACCUCGCAAUCGUUUAGUAGUCAUAACGAAUUACAAAAUGAUACUGUAGGAUACAUAAAUGAUUCACAUGUACAUUGUACUGAUAACAAUAGAAAUAACGAAACUAUGACAUAUGACAAUAAUUUAGGAGAAUAUAAACAAUGGCUCUAUAAUAGUAGUGAUGGAAGUAGUGAAAAUAUUAAUACAUGUACUAAUGUUGAAACAAAUGGAGUAGUGUUAAACUCGGGUUAUAUAAAGAAGAGCAUGGUAAAAAAUGUAGCAAAAGGUACGACUAAAAGUUAUGUUAAAAAUGCUGUAAAAAAUAUAACUAAAAAUGGUGCAAAAAAUAGUGUAUUCUCAAAAAAUAUUUCAAAAUUAAAUACUAUGCAUAAUCAUAACAUUAUUUUGAGGAAUAUUGGCACAAACAGUAGUAGCAUAAACAGUGGUGCUGAUAGCAGCAACAGUAUUAAUCAUUUUUUAAAUACACAGAAUAAUGUAAUAUAUUAUAAAAACAUGAAUGAUAAGUAUUGUGACAACAUUGUUUAUAAUAAACAGAAAAUAGGAAAUAUACAUAACAAAUUAAACACAUUAGAUAACCAUUUUAUUAACCAAAAUGAUUUAAUGGUAUCUAUGCAAAGUAAAAGUGGUAAAGAUGUGAUGACUGGUAACGUGGACAAUAAUAUGAACAAUAAUAUGAACAAUAA
ensembl:lncRNA